AGCGAACGCUGGCGGUAGGCCUAACACAUGCAAGUCGAACGGCAGCACAGUAAGAGCUUGCUCUUACGGGUGGCGAGUGGCGGACGGGUGAGGAAUACAUCGGAAUCUACUUUUUCGUGGGGGAUAACGUAGGGAAACUUACGCUAAUACCGCAUACGACCUACGGGUGAAAGCAGGGGAUCUUCGGACCUUGCGCGAUUGAAUGAGCCGAUGUCGGAUUAGCUAGUUGGGGGGGUAAAGGCCCACCAAGGCGACGAUCCGUAGCUGGUCUGAGAGGAUGAUCAGCCACACUGGAACUGAGACACGGUCCAGACUCCUACGGGAGGCAGCAGUGGGGAAUAUUGGACAAUGGGCGCAAGCCUGAUCCAGCCAUACCGCGUGGGUGAAGAAGGCCUUCGGGUUGUAAAGCCCUUUUGUUGGGAAAGAAAAGCAGCAGGUUAAUACCCCGCUGUUCUGACGGUACCCAAAGAAUAAGCACCGGCUAACUUCGUG
rnacentral:rRNA from 1 species